rnacentral:rRNA from 1 species
GAUGAACGCUGGCGGCGUGCUUAACACAUGCAAGUCGAACGAUGAAGCCCAGCUUGCUGGGUGGAUUAGUGGCGAACGGGUGAGUAACACGUGAGUAACCUGCCCUUAACUCUGGGAUAAGCCUGGGAAACUGGGUCUAAUACCGGAUAGGAGCGCCUACCGCAUGGUGGGUGUUGGAAAGAUUUAUCGGUUUUGGAUGGACUCGCGGCCUAUCAGCUUGUUGGUGAGGUAAUGGCUCACCAAGGCGACGACGGGUAGCCGGCCUGAGAGGGUGACCGGCCACACUGGGACUGAGACACGGCCCAGACUCCUACGGGAGGCAGCAGUGGGGAAUAUUGCACAAUGGGCGAAAGCCUGAUGCAGCGACGCCGCGUGAGGGAUGACGGCCGUCGGGUUGUAAACCUCUUUCAGUAGGGAAGAAGCGAAAGUGACGGUACCUGCAGAAGAAGCACCGGCUAACUACGUG